rnacentral:sRNA from 1 species
AAGGUGUUGUGAUCCUUACAUGUCUAGUUCAGAUGACAAGGGACUGCUUAGUAUUGCGUGAGCAAUUGUGGGGUCAAAGGCCCCCCUUGAGGGCUAGAUCCAAUAGGGGAAAGAGUAGCCGAACAUAAGGGUAGGCUAGUGAGGUGAAGGCUGUCAUAGUCUCUGACUGCAUAUAGCCUUAGAAAAAAUAUGAAAAAAAAAAAAAAAAAAAAAACCAUGCAACUCAACUGCUGACACGACCCAGGCUAUAUAAGAAUUGCUUCGACAUUGCAAUUCGCCAGCUGGCGCGUUUCUCGUGGAAGACUCCAAGCACAACAUCCGCCGACAUCUAACGACGUAUUUUCCCGCAUUGAGAUAUUUUCUCUCCAGACGUGACGAGACCGACCUCUGAGAAGCUUAGAACUUUUUCAACAUCUACUAAGGAUUGUUCCGGAAAGGAUAGCACAAGACGUAUAAAAUGGGUGGAGUUGUGGCGUAUUUUGGUCUGCAGGCUAGGAUCCCGUCCAGGCGUCAAGAGCCGGCCGGGCUUAUACAAGGUACGCUUGCCUCUUUGCCUUACGAAAUAUCCAUGAUCCACACCAUAUCCGCCCUCGAAGUUCCGGAUAGUAGCUCAAAAUACAACUUGAAGCUUAUACAGAAUGCCAACUGAACACGCUGUUUAUAUGGAUUGAAUAAGAUGGACAGCUCUAUACAAUGAGACCUAUGCUUAUCAUGGCAGACGAACACAACCUUGUUCGCAAGGACUCUUCAUCCCUCUGCCCAUGCAACUAAAGCAGCGAAUGCACUUUAAUUUCCGUCUGUCAGAAAUUCUUUCGAUUUGCCGGUCAUUUCUCUUCAAUUGCAAAGAUCUUUCACAGAUUCUCCAUAAACCCAAUCCGCUGUGACUCUCAAGCUGGUCUUCCGCCCAUGGCAACUUGGCCAGAUGGCAAAGUCGCUAGCAACUCAGCAAAUUCAGAUUUAGUGUGUGAGAAGUUGUCAUCGAAUGAACCAGGCUGAGCAUCCCAGUCCAUUGUCAGCGGUCUUUCUCGUCUAGUCCUGGCUUCCUACUUCUCACGGGGGAAUCGCAAGUACGACUCAGGCAAUAUGUUAUUGGUUUCAUGGUUUAAUUGAAAUAUUUAGCACCAGAUCUAAUAAAGACAGUAAGUAUCACUUGCAUGUUCUAAUAUUAUGUUCUAAGGUUACCUGUACUCUCUAAUUAGAGAUAUCAAAUAUAAAAAGGGGAGCAUCGCCCUUUCAAUUCUGAUGUUGGAAUUAUUUGCAUCAUCAUCAUCAUCAUCAUCAUCAUCCCGCCUCAACUAAAUACAACAAUCAAACCUUCUAUAGAUCGUCUUUGAUUUCCCAAGUUCGCUUUACCAGCACAAUGAAGAUCAACGCUGCCUCCCUAUUCCUCACUCUGGUGGCUCUAACUGUCGCUUCUCCUCUGGCUGAGUCUAGCAAUGAUGCUACUAUUGCGGAGUCUAGCGGUGAUUCUGCUAUUGGGGAUUCAUGCUCACGGGCUGGACAAGUCGGAUGUAUCAACCAAGGGCGACCACGCAUUAUCGUCUGUGUAAACCGUGGAAGUGGUCUGAAAUGGGAAGUCCAAGCAUAUUGUCCCUCCGGGCAGUUUUGCGAGUGGAAGUCGAGAGAAAACUGGGCUUGGUGUGGGUGAUGGCAAUCAUGAUGAUUGGUGAAGAAGAAUACGUGAUGGUUCCAGACUUGUUAUACUUUGGAAAAACAAAUGGGGUGAUGUUUGUUGGAGUAGAAAUUUCUCUUUUCCUCUUCUCUUCGUUGUGUAUGUGGUGGAUUAUUCAUUAUUCAGCUCUGGCAUUUCUACAGUUUUGUCUCACGUUUACACUUAUUUUUAUUCAGCCUUUUCCGGCUUAAUCUGUAGCUAGCUACAACGGUAUAAACGAAAGGAAUUCAACAUUCAAACAGAAUAGCGUUCAAUUCAAUCUCCAGCUAGAGCUCAGAUCUCCUUUUUAACAGUAAGAGAAUUCCCUUGGCUUGAUAUAACUGUGGAAUUACUAUCCAUUCUAAUACAAACCAUAUGAAUAUUACCACCUUAAUAUUCACAGGUAAAAUGCUGAGCGGUAGAAUAGUCAGCGUUGCGUGGAAAUCAAUCCUCUUUAUUUGCACGCCCGGCUCUGCUGGCUCCAUGAUGAGUAGACCCAAGCUGGCCCCUGGAAAAUGAUAUACCAAAUCCAACCCUUCAAGAGGUGGAAUGGGGCAUACGAAGACAUAGCACAUGUGCUUCUUGAGAGAAUGGGCUCUAGCUUUAACACCAACAUAGUGGUGGUGGUUGUUACAUCUUUAUUUUAAAUAUCCUAUUCUAAUCCAAUUUAGGGUUAUUUCUAUAUCAAUAUCAAUAUAUUACUUCCAAAUACUCUAGUUUGAAAAAACUCUAUCAAAGUUACAGACUCUUUAUAAUAUUUUUCUACUUCGUUACUUAAACGUACUUUGUAAGUGCGCCCACAGCGACUUCGAAGAUGACUUCGAAGAUGACUUUUCAAAAAAUGCAAUAUUAUUCAUAUUCGCUGAUAAGCUGCAACUAAUAAUAAGUCAUACUACUUCAUUAUUAAUAUGUAAAUAUGCUGUGCCUGAUACGAGCAUUGAGAGGAGAGCUUUAGGGCUGGUGAAUAGGAAAUCUAGGGGUA